rnacentral:rRNA from 1 species
CCCUGGCUCAGGACGAACGCUGGCGGCAUGCCUAAUACAUGCAAGUCGAGCGGAGUUUGAAUGGAAGCUUGCUUCCAUUCUUACUUAGCGGCGGACGGGUGAGUAACACGUAGGCAACCUGCCCUCAAGACUGGGAUAACUACCGGAAACGGUAGCUAAUACCGGAUAAUUUCUUUCCUCUCCUGAAGAGAGAAUGAAAGGCGGAGCAAUCUGCCACUUGGGGAUGGGCCUGCGGCGCAUUAGCUAGUUGGUGGGGUAACGGCUCACCAAGGCGACGAUGCGUAGCCGACCUGAGAGGGUGAACGGCCACACUGGGACUGAGACACGGCCCAGACUCCUACGGGAGGCAGCAGUAGGGAAUCUUCCGCAAUGGGCGAAAGCCUGACGGAGCAAUGCCGCGUGAGUGAUGAAGGUUUUCGGAUCGUAAAGCUCUGUUGCCAGGGAAGAACGUCCGGUAGAGUAACUGCUACCGGAGUGACGGUACCUGAGAAGAAAGCCCCGGCUAACUA